rnacentral:sRNA from 1 species
UUGACGAAUCAAAUGAGAAUGAUUAUCUUAACAACCGUGGCGUUUAGCUAACGCCGCAAGCCAUACAGAGAAUGUCAGGUUCCCUGCUAUGGUUUCUCCUCAUCAAGCUAGUCACGGUCUUGACGGCGGCUCCAUCGAGUCGCCGUUUUUUUAU